CCUGGUUGAUCUUGCUAGUAGUCAUAUGCUUGUCUCUCAAAGAUUAAGCCAUGCAUGUGUAAGUAUGAACUAAUUCAGAUUGUGAAAUUGUGAAUGGGGUAUCUGCUACUCAAAUAAUCAUAGUAAUUCUAGAGCUAAUACGUGCAAAAAAUCCCAACUUCUAGAAGGGAUGCAUUUAUCAGAUAAAAGUUUGAUGCAGGCUUUGAUGAUUCAUGAUAACUCGACGGAUUGCAAGGCCAUCGUGCUGGUGACGUAUCAUUCAAAUUUUUACCCCAUCAACUUUUGAUGGUAGGAUAGAGGCCUUCCAUAGUGGUGAUGGGUGAUGGAGAAUUACGGUUUGAUUCCAAAGAGAGCUUGAGAAAUGACUACCAUAGCUAAGGAAGGCAGUAGACACGCAAUUUACCCAAUCUAGACACGGGAAGGUAGUGACAAUAAAUAAUAAUACUAGGCUCUUUGAGUUUGAUAACUGGAAUGAGUACAAUCUAAAUCCCUUAAUGAGGAUCCAUUGAAGGGCAAGUCUAGAGCCAACAGUCGUAAUAAUUCUAGCUCCAAUAGCCUAUAUUUAAGUUGUUAUAGUUAAAAGCUCAUAGUUAGACCUUAGGUUAGGUUGACAGGUUCAACUCACAGUGUGCACUUGUCAGCUUGUCCCUUUUGCCGACGAUGCGCUCCUAGCCUUAGCUAGUCGAGUCGUUCCUCCGGCAAUGUUACUUUGAAGAAAUUAGAGUGCUCAAAGUAAGCCUGUGCUCUAGAUACAUUAGCAUAGGAUAACCCAUAGAAUUUUGUUCCUCUUGUUUUGACCUUUGCGAUCAAAGUAAUGAUUAAUAGGGACAGUCAGCGGUAUUCAUAGUUCAUAGUCAGAGGUAAAAUUCUUGGAUCUAUGAAAGAUGAACAACUGCAAAAGCAUUUACCAAGGAUGUUUUCAUUAAUCAAGAACGAAAGUUAGGGGCUCAAAGAUGAUCAGAUAUUGUCCUAGUCUCAACCAUAAACGACGCUGACCAGGGAUCAACAAAUGUUGCUUUUAGGAAUCCACUGGCAUCUUAUGAGAAUUCAAAGUCUUUAGGUUUCGGAGGGGAGUACAGUUGCAAAGCUGAAACUUAAAGGAAUUGACGGAAGAGCACCAUCAGGAGUGGAUUAUGUGGCUUAAUUUGACUCAACAAGGGAAAACUUACUAGGUCCAGACAUAGUAAAGAUUGAUAGACUGACUGAGAGCUCUUUCUUGAUUCUAUGGGUGGUGGUGCAUAUACGUUCUUAGUUGGUGGAGUGAUUUGUAUGGUAAUUCCAUUAACAAAUGAGACCUUAGCCCGCUAACUAGCUAUGCAAAGGUGACCCUCCACAGCCAGCUUCUUAGAGGGAUUAUGACCUUUUAGGUUAAGAAAGUUUGAGGCAAUAAUAGGUCUGUGAUUCCUUUAGAUGUUGUGGGCCACAUGUGCACUACACUGAUGCAUUCAAUGAGUUUAUAGCCUUGGUCGACAUGCUCAGGUAAUCUUUGAAAUUUCAUCAUGAUGAGGAUAGAUCAUUGCAAUUGUUGGUCUUCAAUGAGGAAUUCCUAGUAAGCAUGAGUCAUCAUCUCGCAUUAACUAUAUCCUUGCCCUUUGUACACACUACCCAUUGCUCCUACCUAUUGAAUGGUCUGGUGAAGUAUUCAGAUUGUGACAAUGAGGGCAGUUCACCACCAGAAUCAUGAAAUGUCCAUUGAACCUUAUCAUUUAGAGGAAGCAAAAGUUGUAACAAGGUUUCUAUAUGUGAACCUACAGAAG
rnacentral:rRNA from 1 species